AUAAGAACAGUGAAGAGGAGCAGUAAGAAGCAGAUUUUGCAAUCAGAGAGUUGACGGCCGGUGCAAGUCAAUCAAGUCUGUUUCCGAACUCGCCUCAGAGUUGCAGCGGCAAAACCGCUGACGCAUAACUGCGUUAAAAGUAUCAAGUGAGUGCGGCUCAAAACCGCGCUAACGAGGGUGGUACCGCGGGAAAUAAAAAUCUCUCGUCCCUUUU
rfam:Bacillus amyloliquefaciens FZB42, complete genome.